UCAUCGGCCACGCCAUAUUGUUUUAUUAGCUGAUGACGCUCCCGGUUCAUCGCGUGAGAAAAAAUAAAAUUAUUAAUUUAGGAAUAAAAAUUAUGUUGUAAGGCAUAUACGAAAGUGAAUUCAAUUGCAUGAUCAUUCAGAUUUCGACAUUAAGAUGACGAACCUCCGAAGGUGAAAAUGGAUUGUGAUUUCGAUUAUCGGUGUUGCUGGGUCAAAAUCCGCUAUAGUGCUGCUUUUUAGUAAGAAAUGGGCCUUCAGAUGUAUCAGAUUAUGCCAACGGCACAAGUUUUUUCAAGAUGAAAAUGACGGCAAAUCCCGCAAAAAAGACAACAAAACCCGCAUAAGAUAUGCCAUCUUUUUAGCGGGACAUGAAAGUAUUUUUCGGCUUGGGAAAAUUUGUGAAGUUUACCUUGGAUUAUACAUAUAAAGUUUGUAUAAUUGGAAAUAAAAGUAUGAAUAAGCAAUAAAAAAA